rnacentral:rRNA from 1 species
UACGUAGGGUGCAAGCGUUAUCCGGAAUUAUUGGGCGUAAAGAGCUCGUAGACGGUUUGGCAAGUCGGGUGUGAAAACUCCGGGCUCAACUCGGAGACGCCACUCGAUACUGCUAUGACUCGAGUCCGGUAGGGGAGUGCGGAAUUCCUGGUGUAGCGGUGAAAUGCGCAGAUAUCAGGAGGAACACCGGUGGCGAAGGCGGGUCUCUGGGCCGAUACUGACGCUGAGGAGCGAAAGCGUGGGGAGCGAACAGG